rnacentral:rRNA from 1 species
UAGCUAGUUGGUGAGGUAAAGGCUUACCAAGGCGACGAUCUGUAGCGGGUCUGAGAGGAUGAUCCGCCACACUGGAACUGAGACACGGUCCAGACUCCUACGGGAGGCAGCAGUGGGGAAUUUUGGACAAUGGGGGCAACCCUGAUCCAGCCAUGCCGCGUGAGUGAAGAAGGCCUUCGGGUUGUAAAGCUCUUUCGGCCGGGAAGAAAUCGCAUGGGCCAAUACCCUGUGUGGAUGACGGUACCGGAAUAAGAAGCACCGGCUAACUACGUGCCAGCAGCCGCGGUAAUACGUAGGGUGCGAGCGUUAAUCGGAAUUACUGGGCGUAAAGUGUGCGCAGGCGGUUUUGUAAGACAGGCGUGAAAUCCCCGGGCUUAACCUGGGAACUGCGUUUGUGACUGCAAGGCUAGAGUACGGCAGAGGGGGGUGGAAUUCCACGUGUAGCAGUGAAAUGCGUAGAGAUGUGGAGGAACACCAAUGGCGAAGGCAGCCCCCUGGGUCGAUACUGACGCUCAUGCACGAAAGCGUGGGUAGCAAACAGGAUUAGAUACCCUGGUAGUCCACGCCCUAAACUAUGUCAACUAGGUGUUGGGUGGGUAAAACCAUUUAGUACCGUAGCUAACGCGUGAAGUUGACCGCCUGGGGAGUACGCCCGCAAGGUUAAAACUCAAAGGAAUUGACGGGGACCCGCACAAGCGGUGGAUGAUGUGGAUUAAUUCGAUGCAACGCGAAAAACCUUACCUACCCUUGACAUGCCAGGAACUUGCCAGAGAUGGCUUGGUGCCCGAAAGGGAGCCUGGACACAGGUGCUGCAUGGCUGUCGUCAGCUCGUGUCGUGAGAUGUUGGGUUAAGUCCCGCAACGAGCGCAACCCUUGUCGUUAAUUGCCAUCAUUUAGUUGGGCACUUUAACGAGACUGCCGGUGACAAACCGGAGGAAGGUGGGGAUGACGUCAAGUCCUCAUGGCCCUUAUGGGUAGGGCUUCACACGUCAUACAAUGGUCGGUACAAAGGGUUGCCAAGCCGCGAGGCGGAGCCAAUCCCAGAAAGCCGAUCGUAGUCCGGAUUGCAGGCUGCAACUCGCCUGCAUGAAGUCGGAAUCGCUAGAAAUCGUGGAUCAGCAUGUCUCGGUGAAUACGUUCCCGGGUCUUGUACACACCGCCCGUCACACCAUGGGAGCGGGUUCCGCCAGAAGUAGGUAGCCUAACCGCAAGGGGGGCGCUUACCACGGCGGGGUUCGUGACUGGGGUGAAGUCGUAACAAGGUAGCCGUAGGGGAACCUGCGGCUG